rnacentral:rRNA from 1 species
AACGAACGCUGGCGGCAUGCCUAACACAUGCAAGUCGAACGAGACCUUCGGGUCUAGUGGCGCACGGGUGCGUAACGCGUGGGAACCUGCCCUUAGGUUCGGAAUAACUCCCCGAAAGGGGUGCUAAUACCGGAUAAUGUCUUCGGACCAAAGAUUUAUCGCCUUUGGAUGGGCCCGCGUUGGAUUAGCUAGUUGGUAGGGUAAAAGCCUACCAAGGCGACGAUCCAUAGCUGGUCUGAGAGGAUGAUCAGCCACACUGGGACUGAGACACGGCCCAGACUCCUACGGGAGGCAGCAGUGGGGAAUAUUGGACAAUGGGCGAAAGCCUGAUCCAGCAAUGCCGCGUGAGUGAUGAAGGCCUUAGGGUUAUAAAGCUCUUUUACCCGGGAUGAUAAUGACAGUACCGGGAGAAUAAGCGCCGGCUAACUCCGUG